ACUAAUUACACUAUCUUCAUUCCUCUCGUAAAUCGGGGAUCCAUAUGAACACGUGGCAAAAUCUGAUUGAUUUGAUUACUGUUGCUUGGAUUUAAAGUUCGUACAUUGGGUUAUUUGUCGAAAAAUGGCGGAGGAGGAAGAAAAAUAAUAACGUCGCCAUGUGUCGGUGAUGUAAAAGGGCAAAAUCGUAAACUAAGAGAAAAUAUAAAGGGUAAAAGAGGAAUUAAAAUAAGUUAUCCCGUGUACGUAGAAAAAUUUGCUGUAAAUGUAGGACUCUGUAGUUCAAAUCUAUCAUCUAAUUUCUCUCUCAGCAUUUAACGCGGCCAUCAGUUUUGGCUUUUCGACUUUGGCACUCUUUCUGUCCCCACUCCCCUAUGAAACAUCUGCGUCUUCUUUACACUGCGCAAAGAGUGUGAUCACCACCUUCUAUUUUCCUUAUUAAGCUACUGAAGAUGAAUGAGCAACCAGAUUCUGUGCUAGAAUUACCUUUAUCAUGCUAGAAUCAGCCGCUUUUUGCUCGUCCUCUAUCGGUUGUUUGGGAUGGAGGAUUUUCCGCGGGAGUGACUCGGCUGUGAAUUACGGCUUGGAAUGUCAGUCUUAAAUUUACAAUGAGCAACCAGAUUCUGUGCUAGGUAAAGUUUAUCUUCCAAUGCUUUUUCGGUUAUUACAUAGAAAGAGAAACGAUUGACUGUUGGAUAUUAGAUUAAAACUGUAACAUAUUGAUUUUGACUAUUUUUGGUCGGACGCUCGUAGUAUUUGUGGCUUUUGGAUCGUUCACCGUUUUGAACAAUUAUUUGAAAUUUCUCGAUAGCUGUGAUUGUGUCCGUGAUAUUCGCCGUCUCUAACUCUCUCUGUGUGUGUAUAUGUGCGUGCUUGCGGUCGAUGUAUAUUGGCUGAAACAGAGGAUGAGUGCAUAAUGAAGGAUCAAUUGAGGAAACGGAUCUGAAGCUGGAGAUGAGAAGGGAUGAUACUUUUCGUGUGGAAGAAGAAGCGGAAACUGAAGUUUUGUAUUGAUUAGAUGAUGAAGUUGUACGUAUCGGCUACAGGAAUUAAAAAACUGACAAUAUCGAGUUCCGCCGCCGUCACGAGCGGCGGAGGUGGUUUAAGAUUGCCGGUUGGCAUGAAAGGGAAGGGAUCAUCGCCGGGGAUUCGCCGGAUAUCUUACCGGGCGUUAUUAUUGCCGGCUAUUUUGGUUCUCGGUUUAAUUUUAUCGUUACUCUUUUUCAGAAUUACCUUUAUCAUGUUAGAAUCAGCCGCUUUUUGCUCGUCCUCUGUCGGUAAACUAUUUUCCGAUUGUAUUUAAUAUAUUUCUUUUGCUUCAUAAUGUGUUUUUCGUUUUUUGGUUAAUAAUUUUAAUUUUUUUUAUUUCUACUGUUUUGAAUUACAGGUUGUUUGGGAUGGAGGAUUUUCGGCGGGAGUGACUCGGCUGUGGUAAAUCAUCUUCCUGUUUCUGAUAAUUUAAUAUGUAAUCUACUCAAUGUCAUUUUCUUUGCGGUGAUUAAAAUAUUCGAAAUAUUAGAUUUAAUAAUAUUUUGGUUGCCUCUUCUUUUUGGGAGUUUUUCAGUAUCACGUGCUAGUUUUACAAUUGUCCACGUGGGAGCACCUUCAGAAUUUGGAUAAAACUUGUUUUUCCUUUUUAUUCCAAAGUUAAAAUUGUUUGGUGUUUUCUUUAUAUAAGAAAUAUAUAUUGGGUGAGGGAAGGAAGGGGAAAUAGGAGAAGAUUACGAAGUGAUAGUAUUUUGAUUUCUCGACUCUGUUUGGUCUAAAUGCCAAAAGUCAUAAAAUAUAAAAAGGUAUCUUAAAAUAUAAAAAGGUAGACAAAAUAAAAAGAGUCAACAUAUAAUAUGUAUACAUAAAACAAAAUUUUAACCUACCUAAAUAGUCAAAAAAUUGGUGGGGGGCGUACACAUGAAAUAUUAUACUAUCAUAUUUGGAAUAUAAAUUCUUUGCUCAACCAUAUUUACAAAAUAUAGUCAAAAAGUAAGUUUUCGCCCAUUAUUUUCAUUAUAACUAUACUUAAAAAGUUUCAAUUCCUUAUGACUCUCUUUAUUUCAUAAUAAAUGAGGUAGUUUGACUCGGUAUUUGUGGAGCAAUGAUAUUUGUAUGGUUAUAUAAGUUUCUCAUUAAGAAUAAAUAGGUAAAAUGAUAUAGUUUAAAGUUGAAUUAUUUUAAAAUUUUAAAAUAUAUUAUUUAUUUUGAAAUUGACUAAAAAAAAAUAUCUCUUAAAUGAGACGGAGAAUACUGAAUUUAGGUCUCUCAAUAUUGCGGAGGAUGAAACUAGAGGCAGUGUAGAAAAAAAAUUGUUUCAAGGGAACACGAGUCUACUGAACUUAGAUUCACUCCUAUACUAUAAUUCCUACUACAAUAAUUUUUAGGUAGCCGGGAAAACCGAUAGAGUUGUAGAAUUUGUAAGGCAAAGAGUAAAUAUCAAACUAGGUCCUUGCCCAUAUAUACUAUACGUAAGUACAACUCAAGUACUAUUAUUUUCUAUUUAGUUCCAGGGAUAACCGGAUUUAAAGGAAUUGUCUGUAAUUGACAUCCACUUGUUGGUUUCUGUACAUCUUGCAACUAGUAAGCCACAUCAUGAUUCAUGUUUUAACCUAUUAUCCCUGACUAGGACUAAGUAAUGUUGUUCCAUUUUUAUUCUUGACUUUGUAGUCCCACUUGAUCUUUAAUGCUAGAGAGCAUAGUAUAGUAAUUAAGAAAAAGUGGGAGACUGUUUCAGUACAAGUCAAAAUUGCUCUUAGAAAAAUCACUUUCAGUAGAUGUCCACUUGACGUAAUUAUUAAGAUUGGUUGGCCUUUCACAUCGCUAUUGCCCAUUGAUAGAAUAACUUUACAUUAAUCCAAUAACUACGUAAUAACUGUCUUUAUAUCCAUUAUUAUUAAGUAGUACUUACCAAUAGUUAAUUAAUAAGUACAUAUUUUUAUAUCAAUUUUGGUCACUUAAUUUCAUUAAAAAUGUGGUUUGGUCUAAGUGAGUCUUUAUCAACAUGAUUCCCCAACUUUUGUCGUUACUUUUUCUGAUGCUAAUUUUCCUCCUUUUGACCGUACGGUGAAAAAGCUCAGAGAAGAGUUGAUGCUGGCAUUGCUGGAGGCAACAAGUGAUGGUGAGGAUGGAAAAGGAGGGAUAGAGAGUUCAACUUCAUUACCAUCCUCAUUCAAUGAUCUUGUGAAGGACAUGACCUCUAGUGGACAAGACGUCAAAGCUUUCGCUUUCAAAGCUAAAGCUAUGGUAACAAGCAACCUUUUACUUCCUGCUUUCCACUUUACAUUUAUCAAAGCUUUCGCUUUCAAAACUAAAGCUAUGGUAACAAGCAACCUUUUACUUCCUGCUUUCCACUUUACAUUUACUUCGCUUUUCUUGCGGGUUAUUUCUUUUUAUUUAUGAGUUGCAGCCAUAAUUCUCGUAUACCUAACGGUGUAUUUUAGUUUCUAUGUAGCUGGAUAAUAAUUUUUUUUAUCCGUUCCUCUUUGGUUGGAGAAUCUUGAAUUGAAAAUGCACAAGUAGGCCACUUUGUCACAUGAAUAAUCAGACUGCCUGCAAUGCUCCAUCACUCAAGCAUUGGUGCGUGUUUGUUUUUGGAAUGCGUAAUGGGCCCAAUCCACUUGUUGGCCUUGGCCCUCUGUGUAAAAGUAUUCUCUUUACCUACCAAUAAUACGAGCUAAAACAAUCCUAUGAUUGCAAAUGUUCUGUAGUUACAACUUUAGUAGGCAUCUACAUUAAGCAAUUAAAUUACUGGGCACUAAAGUCUGAGCCAUAGUUUCUAAAAAAUGUCAAUUUACAGUUAGGCCUUUUGGUUCAAAGGAUUCGGUGGGUUAUCCUGGGAUAAAUUUUGGAAUUAAAUUUAUCAUGUGUUUAGUUGAAGGUAUUACCUCACACCUGUAUUAUUUUUAUAAAAAAAUUGUUAAUAUAACGUAACAAUUAUAGAAGGUGUGAUAGUUUUCAAGGUUAUAGUCCUGGUUUUAGUCCCGGGAUUAGAUAUCCUGGUUGUGAACCAAUCGACCAUACCAUACCCUGCUUCUAUAUCCUGAAGCCAAGUCUAAAAUGCUGAGAAGUCCAAAUCUUUCCUUACCAGUGGGAGGAAUAAGCAUCUUGUAGAAGAUUUUUGGGUGUUUGGACCCAAAGCUAUCUGAGCCAGUUUUUGGUAAUGGCUAAAGAAUAUUGAACUAGGAAUAGAGUCAAUUGUGAUGAACAGAUCCUCACUCUGAUACCUUUGUGAGAAGCGAUAUCCACUGAUAUAUAGGACUAAUAGAGGAGAUCAAAGAGAAGAAAUUAUUAUCAACCUGAAACCAGAAUCUCAUUUAGGUUCUUCUCUAAUACAAUUUGAAUCGUUCUAGGAUAUUAGAAACUCGUUGUUGGCCUUUCAUGAGCUUCGUUUCCACAUUCUACUUGCAUCGUAGUUGAAAAUAAGUACUUGGGACCUUGUUCUUUCCGGACACUUCAGACUUCAGUAUCUAAACUUAUUCCUAACAGCCCUAAGACCAAGUGAAAGCUACACUAUAAUAGACAACCUGAGGGAGGGGGUUCCUGUUCCUCCAAAAUUCCCAGCAUAGCAUAGCUUUAUGACCUAAUAGGACAUGUUUGUCUGCAACUCGAUUGCUCAGAUUUUGACAUUUCAAGAGUCUCUAUGUGGAACUUCAAAGUGAGAUUUCGAAAAUAACAAUCACUUCACUGACUUUUAAGUGGACAUGAAUUUUUUUCUUUCAACUCGCUGAAAAUUUCUCGAUUAUAGAGUAGGUCAUACAAAAUUUAAUGGAGCACCAUUGUAUUGUUGUAUUGUUAUAAAUAUUUGAAAGAGUUGUAUGCUUCUAUCCUUUGUUUAGAUAGUGAAGAUGGAGCAAUUGGUAGAGUCAGCUAGACAACGCGAGUCUAUUUUCUGGCAUUUAGCUUCUCACGGUGUACCAAAGGGGGGCAUACAUUGCCUAUCUCUCAAGUUAGCUGAAGAAUAUGCUGAAAAUGCUGCCGCACGUUCUCGCUUGCCUCCCCCUCAAUAUAUUUCACGCCUCACUGACCCUUCCUUCCAUCACGUAGUUCUUUUAACAGACAACGUACUUGCUGCGUCUGUUGUAGUUUCCUCAAC
rnacentral:lncRNA from 1 species